rnacentral:rRNA from 1 species
GCUAAACGCGAAGAACCUUACCAGGGUUUGACAUCCUGCGACCGCUCCCUAAUAGGAGUUUUCCCGCAAGGGACGCAGAGACAGGUGCUGCAUGGCUGUCGUCAGCUCGUGUCGUGAGAUGUUGGGUUAAGUCCCGCAACGAGCGCAACCCUCGCCUUUAGUUGCCAUCAUUCAGUUGGGCACUCUAGAGGGACCGCCGGCGACAAGCCGGAGGAAGGUGGGGAUGACGUCAAGUCCUCAUGGCCCUUACACCCUGGGCUACACACGUGCUACAAUGGCGGUGACAGUGGGCAGCUACUCAGCGAUGAGCGGCUAAUCCCAAAAAACCGCCCCAGUUCAGAUUGCACUCUGCAACUCGAGUGCAUGAAGGUGGAAUCGCUAGUAAUCGCAGAACAGCAGGCUGCGGUGAAUACGUUCCCGGGUCUUGUACACACC